rnacentral:rRNA from 1 species
CGGGUGAGUAACACGUAUCCAACCUGCCGUCUACUCUUGGACAGCCUUCUGAAAGGAAGAUUAAUACAAGAUGGCAUCAUGAGUUCACAUGUUCACAUGAUUAAAGAUAUUCCGGUAGACGAUGGGGAUGCGUUCCAUUAGAUAGUAGGCGGGGUAACGGCCCACCUAGUCUUCGAUGGAUAGGGGUUCUGAGAGGAAGGUCCCCCACAUUGGAACUGAGACACGGUCCAA